UAUCCGUGAGUUCCUGCAUCACUCACAGACCUUUCGCCUUUUACUACAAAAAUCCGUGCAGAGGACUUAUAAGACCGGAAUUUAAUAAUUUAUUUUAGCCUUGUCUUUUGAUAGGGC